ensembl:lncRNA
AUGUGGCAGGGGGGUUGGAGAUUCAUGAUCCUUGAGGUCCCUUCCAACCCUGGCAAUUCUGUGAUUCUGUGUUGCAUCACCCGAGUUUUACAUCCUCUCCAUUUUGGGACUCUCUUUGGGUCCUUCUUUGGGUACUUGGAUACCGCACCUCUUUCGAGUCCCGCAUCCCGUUCGCAUCCCCCAUACCCUCACCAUCCUCCUCCUUUCCCUCCUCCCCAGCCCCAUCCCUCCCCAUUCCCUAUUGGACGACGUGUCCCCACCGAUUACCCCGUGCUGAAACCGAAAGCGAAAGAGAGGGAGAGGCCAUGGCCGGCGGUGGCGGCGGAUCGCAGAGGGGCGUCGGCGUGGAACCCCUCGGGGAGCGCUGAGCCCCCCCCGCCCGACUCGAGACCACCGCCCAUGGAUCGGCUGCUGCUGCUCUGCGCUGCUCUCCUAUUUCUGCCCUAUAGCUCCUCGGACAGCGCGGUGCGAUGCGGCCGUCCCAAAGAUGUGGCCAAUGCGAUCAUCAACGCGGGAGACACGGAGCUGCUUCACACCAGCCUGCGUUACACCUGCAAGCUGGGCUACAAACGCAAAGCUGGCACCUCCACCCUCAUCCAGUGCGUCCUCGAUCGUGGCAAGCCUGUCUGGACGUCCACUGAGCUGCAGUGCAUCCGGGACCCAGCUCUACCUCUGCAAACCCCAAGCCCUGAGCUCCCAACAGUGAGGACAAGCCAAAGAGGAACCAACACCACUUCAGCAGCAGUGCCUGUGCCAUUGCCAGAGACAUCUGUGCCACCGCCAGUGUCUGAACCACCAGAGAUGCCUAGACCAGGAGAGGGGACAGCCCUGGGGACAACCCCACUGCCCACCAUCCCCAUACACGAUGCUGCAGUUUCCACUCAGACUGUGGCCUCUUCCAUCGGGGUCUCAUUUCUGCUUGUUGUUGUUGUGGCGGGACUCUGCUACCGGAGGAUGAAAAUGCAUGCGCAGCAGCACGUAGCAGCAACGACCAUCCCCAUGGUGGCUCCCAGUACCACAGCAGAGAACGAUGAGAUGUUGCCACCUGGUGACAUCCCCAUGGGCUGAGCACCCAGCACAGAGCACGUUGGUUUACCUACCAGUUAGCUAGGAGGAUGCUCGAAGCUCAGUGCUUCCCCAAGUGGCAGUGGCAUGAGGCAUGUCCCCACGUCCCCAGCUGCCCUUCACACGGAGUAUCUUCACUCCAGGGACAUGUAGUAACUGCUCUUCUCAGCCUGAACAAGUAGAUGAGAUCACUCCAGUGCCAAGUGGUGAGUGGUUAUCCUAUUGUAUGGCUCAAUGAACAACUCAAGCUGGCGUGAACUCAAUGGAAAUCCUAAAUGGGAGCCAAAAUUAGGGAUAAGUACCCAAGCACAAAGCAGGGCUGGAAAAGUUACCAGUAUGGGAUGCAAGGAACAGAGCAAGGCCAUUAAUAGGGCACCCAUGGGUGGCCUGAGUCCAUAGAUAGUGCCCAUCCUCUUGCAGACUGGGAGGCUAUAGUCAACAUGGUCCAGGCUGUUUGCCCCAGUAAAGGACAUUUGUGGGAUGGAGAAUGGAGUUUGGGUGCUGGGGUUGAAGGCAGACUGCCUAAGUAAAACCAUUCCCUGGCUAGGAAUGGUGGACACUAGUCCCAUCCUUAGAGGUGCUUUAACCCCAAAUUGCCCCCCAAACACAGAAAGGAGCACUGCUUAGAGUCACUAAAUAGAGACCCAGGUGAGUAUCCCCUCACUGUACCUUGACUCCCUCCCUGCUCUCUUCCAGCCAUUCAGUCAUGAACCAACAACCACAGCAAAGGGCUUCAGCUCCAUCACCAGUUCAGAGGUCAUCCCCUCAUCCACACUCAGGGAUCUUCAGGGGGCAAUUUCAGCACCGAUGCCAGCUGCUUGUAGGGGACUGCACGUGGGAGUGAUUUGCUACAAACACUACCAAAGCCUGAAGACAAGGACACAGCAGUGAUAUCUGUUGUUAUCCACUGAUUUCCCCCACUUGCUACAGAACUGGUGGUUUUGUACUGAUGUUUUAUAUAUAAAGGAUAUAUAUUGUAAUGUAAAAAUACACACAGAGUGGCUGUUUCUUUAGUUGGGUGUCUUGCCAGCCACAACGAUGGGGAGGACAGUAGGAAUGCUGGGACAGUCAGGAGCUGGUUUGGAGUGAAAUGCAUCCCUGUAACAGCCAGGGCUUGCUGGUGGUCUUCCAGGUAGGACUGAACCAGAGGAAAGGAGACAUUCCAUGACUGCAGCUCCUUACUGAUGGGUAUUGGGAACACCACAAAUCUGCAUGAGUAGAAGGUGGCUUUGAACAACGAGGAUGGGUGGCUCAUGAUUGAAUACAGCUGCAGCAACCCACUGCAAACUCUAAAUGAGCACUGCCAUCCUCUAGAGGUAAAGGGUGAAGGCAAGGUGACGUUCAUCAUCACCGAUCUGGCUCAGGUGGAAGGCAAAAGGGGCUUCAUCAGCCAGCUGGAAAGCCAACCCAACGUGUUCCUUCCUCACUUCUCUUGUCCUUGUGUUUGUUCCACUGCUCUGGACUGUCUGAGCUGGAAAACACAGCACUUUGCUGUGAAGACACAUGAUAAACCAAAGUUUCCUAUAACUCCAAAGUGCCAUGGGAUGGUUGGACAACAGAUGGAAGGGAAUGCUGGAGGUCCAUGGUCCUGUGUCUGCAAGAGCUUUGCAGUUGUAUUCAAAUAAGUUUUAAGCGAAGUUAUCUGCACUUUUGAUAAGCAGAAAGUCUUCCCGAAGUCACUGUUUCAAAAGCAAAAGGAGAGCCAACAAAAUAGCUGCCAUUCCACAAAUAACAGUGGAAGUCAACAGAAUGUGACUCCAAAUUGCUCAUGGCUCCAGGCUGAAGGCCAGGAUCACGCCUCUACCUAAACUGGUUUCAGUUUUGAUCUGUGCAUGAUGUGGCCUCUGGGACAACAAGCCAAGGUGUUAUCUUCAAGCAGGCAGCAUAAGCCACCCUCUGAUUGACAGAGCCACCAUCAUGCUGGUACCAUUGCUAUUGUGAUGGCUAAAAAAUAAAUAUAACCCAGGAAGACUUCUUAAUGGGAGA